GUUUAUUCUAGGCUCGGGCUGGGGAGGUACGAGGGAAAGUGGGUCAGCGCCGGCCGCGACAGGACUGUGGCUCGGGCGACAGGGCUCCUGUUCGCUGAUGCCUCCCAAGCAGACAGAAUUGCAAUUUCAAAUAUUACCAAAGGUGUAACAAGAAGAAACCCUCACCAGCUUCACUGGCAGCACAGAACAAGCCUCCUUUCACCGACAUCUGUAUUUACACACCUUCAGAAGCAAAUCCCCGGACAUCUCACCGUGGAGUGGCCUUUGUGUCUCCUGCUCUGAGUGUCCUGCAUCCUUGCAAGUUUCGUCUGGCCUCUAGCAGAGACCCUUGGGAAGUUCCUGGUCACCACAUCCACUGAAUCCCACUGCAUCAACUGAUGUUCUGCCCUUUGGUGAAUGGAGAGGGGAGACAGACUGCUGCUUCUCCCACCAAGGCUAGCAGAGUCUCUGCUGUCUCCACUAAGAAGAGGAUUCCAGUCCCUCCCCUUGCACCUGAGUGAGCUGGUGACUGUAGAUUUGCUGGACAGCCUGUCCCAGAGGUGGGACAGAGGGAGCGAAAGGAAAGAACCAUGUGUCAUUCACUUCUGGAUAAUGACAUUUUCCAGGGUCAUUUCCCUGAGAGAAAAGGAGGUUGAAGAGGGUGUCCUUGGGUCUCCUCCCUUCAAAAAGACCUCAGGUCGUGGGACCCAGAGUGUGGUUCAUAGAAGAGCUGAGGUUCUGGAACCUUUGGGCCUUGGGAGAUGUUUGUGGAGGAUGCCACUUUCAAAACUGCCCACAACAACUUGAGCAUCUUAGUCCCUCACACUGUACAUGACACCACGGUGUGAGGAAGUCCAGGCAACAUAGAGAAGCCAUGAGUCAGUGUUCUGGCGGACAGCCCAGCUCAAGUCCUCAUCACCAACAGUGUUCGAGUGCCACAUAUGUGAGGGAAGAGCCUUCCGCUGGUCCCAGACGGAGAGGAGAAAGCCCACAGAAGCCACAGAGGAUAAUAACCGAUUAGUGCCCUUUUAAAGUUAACCUUUUUGUUUUGAGAUAGUUGUAGCAGGAGUCAACAAGGCUGUGGAGAGUCCCCUAUACCCUCCACCAGUUCUGCCAAGGCUAACAUCCUGCAAAACUACAGGACAGCCAAGAAGUAGUCACCCCCACCCCCACAGCUUCUUCCUGGUACGCUUUUAUGUGACGCCCAUCCUGCCACCCUGCCUGUCCUGCCACCCCUCACACCUUUUCUUUAACUCCUGAUGACCACGACACUACAUGGGGUUGUUUGUUUGUUUGUUUGUUGUUGUUGUUGUUUGCAAUUUUCCAUUUUAAAAGUGGUACCUGGGCGGAAUCACAGUGUGUGGCUAUUCGGAGUUGGCUUCUUUUACUCAGAGUGACUCCCUAGAGACUCAUCCAAAUUACACGUGCAUUAGCUUGUUCUGUUGUGUGGCUUAUCCUUAAGCCUUCACUUGUUGACUAUCUGGGCCGUUUCCACCACGAAUCUCUUAUAAACCAAGCUGUUCAGAGCUCUCAUGUGCAGACGCUCGUGUGAACAAUACAGUCUUCGGCUUUCUGGGAUGAGCGCCACAGUGCAAUUGCUGGGUCAUAUAGUAGUCACGCUCUUCAUUUUAUAAGAUGCCAAACUGUCUCCCAGAGUGCCUGUGCCGUGUCAUAUUUCCUCAGCUCUGUACGCGUCAUCCAUUUCUAGUCCUCUUAGUCAGUGUUUGUUGUUUUUAAUUGUGGUGAAAUAUGUGGGACAGAAAUAAUUUACCGUCUUAGUCACUUCUGAAUGGAGAGCCAGGGUAGCCUGACUCUAGAAGUCUUCCCAUCCUGCCAAUCUGAAACUGUUCUUGUCAAACACAAACUCCUCAUCCUCCCUCCCACCACUGUCUGGCCAACCUCCACUCUACUUCCUGUUGCUAUCAGUUUGACUUCCCCAGGGCCCUCCAAUGAGUGCCAUCCAAUACAUGUCCUUUUAUGACGGGCCUAUUGCACUGAGUACAAUGUCUUCAAGGUUCAUCCCCAUGGUAGUAUGUGUCUGAAUUUCUUUCCUGUUUAGGGUUAAAUAACAUUCCACUGUAUGACUAUACCACAGUUUUUUAAUGGGGCUAUCCACCAAUGGACACUUGUGUUUCUUCCUCAUUUGGGAUAUUGUGGGUAACACUGUUGUGAGCACAGGUAUAAAAAUAGUUACUCAAGAUCCCGCUUUUGGUCUCUAGAAGUACCAUGUUGUGGUUUGACGAAAAAUGGCCCCCAGAGGCCCAUAGGGAGUGGCACUAUUGGGAGUUAUGGCCUUGUUGGAGUCAGCAUGGCUUUGUUGAAGGAAGUGUGUCACUAGGGGGUAGCCUUUGAGGCCUCAGACGCUCAAGCCAGUUCACUUCCUGCUGCUUGUCAAUCCGGAUGUAGGACUCUCAGCUCCUUCUCCAGCACCAUGUCUGCCUGCACGCCGCCAUGCUUCCCACCGUAACGACAGUGGACUAAAUCUCUGAAGCUGUAAACCAGCCCCAGUUAAAUGUUUUCCUUAUCAAAGCUGUCGUGGUCACGGUGUCUCUUCAUAGCAAUAAACACUCUAAACUAAGACACUAGUCCAGAAGUGGGAUUGCUGAUCACGAUGCAUCUUUCAGAUCCUUUUUUUAUGUAUGUAUACGUGUAGGAACAUGUUCAUGUGUGUGCAAGUGUAUGUGUGCUUGAAAAGCGACAUUUUAACUACAGAGCCGUCUCCCCACAGAGCAGUCUUGGUGAGUUUUGAAGAACUGAUUUAUUUUGUUGCACCUGUUGGGUGGUCGGAGGUGUUCUCUUGCUGUGAUUCUGACUGUCCCGUAAGUGCUCGAUGAUGUCAAGCUUUCCCUGGGCUUGCCGCCGUUUGUGUGUGUUUAGUGAGACCUGUAAGCAAGUCCUUCCCCUGCUUCUCAGCUUCUUUUGGCUGUUGCUAUGUUGUAGUAAUUCUUUCUGAAAUUUAUAUAAUAACCCUUUAUCAACCGUGUGACUUGCAGACAACACCCCCCACCCCCACCGCAUCCCGCCCCGGCCUCGGCUCCAUGGGUCUCCUCGCCAUUGCACUGGUUGCAUCCUUUGACACACGAGCUUUCAGUUUCUGUGUGGUCUGACUGCCUCAGUUUUAUGUUAUUGCCUUUGCUUUUAGUGUCAUGCUCAAAAUGUUAUCGUCAAACCCAAGCUCGUGGAACACUUUCCCCUCAUUUUCUUCUAAGAGAUUUAUGUUUUUAGCCCUUGGAGUUUGGCCUCUGACACAUUCGAGCUCAUUGGCCUAUAUUUUAUAAGGUCCACUAUAAAAAAAAAAUCCUCCACCUUCCUUCCUUCCUUCCUUCCUUCCUUCCUUCCUUCCUUCCUUCCUUCCUCCCUCCCUCCCUCCCUCCCUCCCUUCCUCCUUCCCCUGCCUCUCUCCUUUUCUCUUUUUUUCUGUUUAUGACUAUUAGCUUUCUGGCCAUGGUUUGUUAAAGGCCUGUCUUUCCCCAUUGAAGAGUCUUCACACUAUUCCUCAUACACUCUACUGUCUGGAAGGAAAUGUUGCCCCAUGGUAGAACUGAAACUAAAGCCAGUUUUAAAAAGAAAAUUAUUUGACUCAAUAUGGGAGAGUUCCAGGCUUUCUAUUUUAUUCAGGUGGUCCAUGUGUCUGCCUCUCCACCAGCGACACACCGUUUGAAUGCUGUAACUUUGUAAUGAGCUUUCUAAACAGGAAGCACAAGGCCUCUCUCUGGCUUUCUUCUUUUUCAAGAGUGUUCUGGCUACUCGGGGCCUUUUGAGACUCCAUGUGAAUUUUAGGAUGAGCUUUUCUACUUUUGAAGAAACCAUAAUUGGGAUUCUGUAGGAUUAAUUGUAUCCAUGGACUACUUUGUAUAUUUGAACAGGCUCUUGGGAAUGGCUUGUUCUAAAAACCAUGCUCACUGGGGCUACAAGAUAACUGAGGAGUGAGGAUAAAGGCCUGAUGUCUUUGCCUUCACUUUGGUCCUGUUGCCUUUACUUUCAGUCCCCCCCCCCCCCACCUCUGCAAGCACCUUAAUCACUCAAGGAAUGUCCAUCUAGAAGCCAGGAUUACCUAAACUUUCUCAUGCUUCUUUGAGGUGGAAGGAUCAAAGGUCACUGUCCUAACCCCACAGGCACCCAGAGUUCCUGGAAUAGCAAGGCCCCCAAAGCAGGGCAGAGUCUCCCAAGAUGGAGACAGCUGUAUUCCCCGAUGGAGAGUUAACCCUCCCCAUGCCUCAAUGCGAUUGGCAGAUGAGGAGUGUGUCAGGCCAUUUUGUAGGUCAGGAGUUGAGACAAUGAUCAACACGGCCACACUUCAAGCAGGUCUGCUUACUUGUAUAUACCCCUUCACCUUGUCAGAUGCUUCCUCUGUUUAAAACUGAAGCUCACCUGCCUUUAAUCCCAGCACUCGGGAGGCAGAGGCAAGCGGAUCUCUGAGUCCGAGGCCAGCCUGGUCUACAGAGCGAGUUCCAGGGCAGCCAGGGCUACACAGAGAAACCCUGUCUUGAAAGCAAACAGAAAAACACCCCCUAAAAAAGCAAACAAACAAACACAACCCCAAACUUGAAGCUCUUCUUGGUACAAACCUGGGGUCCCCAGACUUCUUUAUCUAAAUCUCCCUUUUCUGUGUCCACCAUGACACCUCUCCUUAACUGAUGCACGCUGCUGGUGGCUGAGCCUAGACUGAUGGAGCUGCCAGAGCCAGGUCUUCUGCCACAACACUCCAGUUACGGCACUGACAUUUGAACAAAUAUUUUCUUUCAAACCAUUUUUUUGGUCAUAUUUAAUUUCUUUCAACAACAUUUUGUAGUUUUCCUUCGACUUGAUUAAAUUUAUUAAGUAUUUUAUUCAUUUUGCCCUUGUCAUAAAUACGGCUCUCUUAUUUUUCAUCAAUUUUCAUCUAUUUGUUCUGUUCUUGAAGGUAGAUAUUAAAACCCCCUGCCAUUUACUAUAGAGUUAUCUGUUUCUCCCUUCAAUUCUGUCAAUAUUUUCUUCAGGUGUCUAGAAGCUCUGCUGUUUGGUGCCCAUAUAUUCAUAAUUUUUACAUCUUCUUGGAAGAUUGUGUGUGUGUGUGUGUGUGUGUGUGUGUGUGUGUGUGUGUGUGUGUCUUUGUGGUGCUAUGAACACGUGCAUGCAGGUGUGACUGCAGGUGUGUGGAGGUCUGAUGUUGAAGCUGAUGCCAAGUGUUUUUCCUGGAUGGCUCUCCACCUUUACAACCCUGAAACUCAUCAGUUUGGUAGGCUGACUGGACAAUUGACUUUAGAGGUCUGCCUGGCCCCUUCACAACACUGGGGUUACAGGCAUGUAAUGACAUGCUUACCUUAAAAAAAAAAAAAAAGCAAAUCAGGUACUCAGGCUGGCAUGGAAGACUUUUAACAACUGGUCUCUGAUCUUUUUUAAUCAAUGUGUAAUUUCCUAUGCCUAGUGUUUGUGGUGUGUGUGUGUGUGUGUGUGUGUGUGUGUGUGUGUGUGUGUGUGUUUGAUCAAAAUUUUCUUUCCUAGUAUGGCGAGCCCAAAUCCUUUUUAAUUACUGUUUCUGUGGAUCACCUUUUUCUAUCCUUCCUUUAAAAAGCAAAAUAUCUUUUAUUUGCUUUUUAACAAUAUCAUACAUGUAAACAACGAGCUUUGAUCAUAUCCACUACCAGCUUCUCCCUUCUACUCCCUCAGACACUCCCAACAUGUUCCUCUCCCAACUUCGAGUCUACCACCCCAUAACCCACUAAGUCCAAUUACUGCUGCCCCUCGGAAUGCUAACGGAGCUUGCUGGCUUGAUCUUCGGGGAACAACAGCUGCCUUGAGUUCAUGAGUGCAAUAGCUCUGUCCUGUCCUGAAAGCAGAACCUCACUGCCUCCUUCCUCAUCUGCUGGCUCUUUUGUUUUUUCUACCCUCUCUCCUCCACCUUUCUUGACCAUUGUGGUGAGUAAAGUUAAUUAAAAUGCCCCGUUUUGGACUGAGAAUUCAAUAGUCACUGGUUCUCAGCACUUGGACCAGUUGGGAAUCUCUGAAUUAAUUGGUCUCCACUGCACAACCCUUCUUCUCAACCUGUUAUUUCCUUAGAUUUUAAUAAAACCAAGCCUCUCACAGGUCAUAGAGUCCAACUCUGCUUUU